rnacentral:rRNA from 1 species
AUUGAACGCUGGCGGCAUGCUUUACACAUGCAAGUCGAACGGCAGCGCGGGGCAACCUGGCGGCGAGUGGCGGACGGGUGAGUAAUACAUCGGAACGUACCCAGCAGAGGGGGGUGACGUAGCGAAAGUUAGGCUAACACCUCAUACGUUCUACGGAAGAAAGUAGGGGACGGUCGGUCAUCAUGCGUUUGGAGCGAGCGGUGUCUGACUAACUAGUUGGUGGAGUAAAGGCCUACCAAGGAGACGAUCAGGAGCUGGUCUGAGAGGACGACCAGCCACACUGGGACUGAGACACGGCCCAGACUCCUACGGGGAGCAGCAGUGGGGAAUUUUGGACAAUGGGCGCAAGCCUGAUCCAGCAAUGCCGCGUGAGUGAAGAAGGCCUUCGGGUUGUAAAGGUCUUUUGUCAAGGAAGAAACGGUCGGGUUUAAUACCUCUGGCUAAUGACGGUACCUGAAGAAUAAGCACCGGCUAACUACGUGCCAGCCGCCGCAGUAAAAC